rnacentral:lncRNA from 1 species
UGCGUGCUUGCCGGCCGUCGCCGUGACGCACUUCCGCUUCCGGCAAGGAGGUUCUCGGACCCCAGCCUGCUGGCCCUGGGGCGCGGGGCGUCGUGGGGGUCGUUGUCGUUGAGGGUCGUUGCCGUGUGUGGCGUCUUAGCCUGGCCCCUGGGUUGUGCCCCACGGACGCAGUCGACCCCUCUGAGCGCCUCGGGAGCCCCGAAUAGCAGCUGGGAGAAGGGGCGAGGACUGAGCCUCGCUGCCCGCUGCCGGCCGGGCUAGAGAUACGGGCGUGCCCCCCAUUGUGCGCCUCCCGCCCUCCGGUCCCCUCACCCUGCGGCCACCUGGGGCGUGGGGCGGUGCUCCUGCCCGUGCACGUAGCCGCUGCGAGCGGAGGCCUGCUCACCUGGUGCCUGCUACUCACUCCCCCGGGCCGGUGGGCGAAGGACACCCGCAGGAACUCGGCAGAGGAGAAAUUCAGACGGCUCCCGAGGGUAGGAAAAGACCCCGGCCCACCGUGGAAUCUGAAACACCCGACCACUCUGCCAUCCCAUGUUUCACCAGUCAGACCCCCAGGGCAGGGCAGGGGAAGCAGAAUGCAAACUGGGGCACCGUUUCCCUGAAGCGUGUUGGCCGCGUUUGUCGUAGUGCUAGAGGUGCAUACCCUUGGACCCCGAAAACCCAUUCCUGGGAAUUUGCUCCAAGGAAGUAAAGAUGUUACAAAGAUGGACCCACGAAGUAUGGUCGUUGGUUAUGGGUGGGGUCU